rnacentral:tRNA from 1 species
ACAUCGUUGGUGAAACGGUAUCAUGCACCAUUCCCAGCGGACAUGUGACUAGCAUUCCUCUUUGUUGCGGCAAGGGUUCGACUCCCUUACGAUGUA